rnacentral:rRNA from 1 species
GGUUCAGGAUGAACGCUGGCGGCGUGCUUAACACAUGCAAGUCGAACGGGCCUAAGACUGAAGCUUGCUUUAGUUUAGGUUAGUGGCGGACGGGUGAGUAACGCGUGGGUAACCUACCCUGUGCAGGGGGAUAGCAGCUGGAAACGGCUGAUAAAACCGCAUAACACGGCAAGAUCGCAUGAUGAUGCCGUCAAAUAUUUAUAGGCACAGGAUGGGCCCGCGUCUGAUUAGCUAGUUGGCGGGGUAACGGCCCACCAAGGCGACGAUCAGUAGCCGGCCUGAGAGGGUGAACGGCCACAUUGGGACUGAGACACGGCCCAAACUCCUACGGGAGGCAGCAGGUGGGGAAUAUUGGACAAUGGGGGGAACCCUGAUCCAGCGACGCCCGCGUGAGUGAAGAAGUAUUUCGGUAUGUAAAGCUCUAUCAGCAGGGAAGAUGAUGACGGUACCUGACUAAGAAGCACCGGCUAAAUACGUGCCAGCAGCGGC